rnacentral:misc_RNA from 1 species
CCCGCCGCGAUCAGCACGAUCCCGAGCCAUCCCGUUGCGGACGGUCGCUCGCCAAGAAACAGAAACGCGAACAGCGCGACCAGCACCACGCUCAGCUUGUCGAUCGGCGCCACGAGCGUCGCUGGCCCAAGNNCGCGAAAGUAACAGAGCCACGACGCGCCGGUUGCGAGCCCGGACAGCACGAGGAAUGUCCAAGUUCUCGUUGAGAUGUGACCGGGCGCGCUGAACUGUCCGGUGGCGA